ACACGUCUACAUUAGAUACCCGGGUAGUCCCAGCCGUAAACUAUGCGCGUUAGGUGUAUCGGUGACCACGAGUUACCGAGGUGCCGAAGGGAAACCGUGAAACGUGCCGCCUGGGAAGUACGGUCGCAAGGCUGAAACUUAAAGGAAUUGGCGGGGAGCACCACAACAGGUGGAGCCUGCGGUUUAAUUGGACUCAACGCCGGGAAGCUCACCGGAUAAGACAGCGGAAUGAUUGCCGGGCUGAAGACUCUGCAUGACUAGCUG
rnacentral:rRNA from 1 species